rnacentral:rRNA from 1 species
AAACAUGUCUUUUUGUAUUUAAUUUAAAGUCUAAUCUGCCCACUGAUUUUUAAUUAAAGGGCUGCAGUAAUUUGACUGUACAAAGGUAGCAUAAUCAUUAGUCUUUUAAUUGAAGACUUGUAUGAAAGAUUUGAUGAGAUAUAAACUGUCUCUUUAUUACAAUUAAAAUUUAAUUUUUUAGUUAAAAAGCUAAAAUAUUUUUAAAAGACGAGAAGACCCUAUAGAGUUUUAUAGUUUUUAUUAUAAAAUAUUUAUAUAAAAUUUUAAUGUUAUAUUAUAAAAAUUAUUUUGUUGGGGAGAUAAAAAAAUUAAAUAAACUUUUUUAAAUAUUUUCAUGAAUAAUUGAGUAAUUGAUCCAUAUUUAUUGAUUAAAAGAAAAAAUUACCUUAGGGAUAACAGCGUAAUGUUUUUUUUUAGUACAAAUAAGAAAAAAAGUUUGCGACCUCGAUGUUGGAUUAAGAUAAAAUUUAAAUGUAAAAGUUUAAAAUUUUGAUCUGUUCGAUCAUUAAAAUCUUACAUGAUCUGAGCUCAAACCGG